CCAAACUCUAAUCCUAAUUCCGGUAUUCUUUAAAAAGCAAGAGGAAAAGAACAAAAUGGAAAAUAUCUCCUAGCCUUAUCUCUUCCCACGUCACUUAUUCUAUCCGAAGUGUACUGUUAACUAGAUUUUUGUCCAAGCCCCGUUGAAGCUCCCUGACGUUGAUUUUUUCAUGCGUACAUCUCUUAUCUUCAACCUCCUUGCUGCAUCGUUUAUCUCCCUGGGAUAUUUCCUGCGCGUCAUCAUCUUCAUCCGGCCGCCGCUCAUGGAGAAAAGAUCUCCAGUCGCCAGGGGAUAAAAUCUCGCCGCCCACGGUUCCUUUUUACGCGCUGUGCACCUUCCAACCCAGCCGUGCCUGCUCGCCACCAUUCGGCGUUUCUUCCGGUGGGAACAGAGGGCAACAGUUGACGCGGCAGCCAAAAUCGCCACGCCCUGGACUUCCUCCUCGGUGCCCUGCUCGCUCGUCUUCCUGACGUCCGGCUAGAGCUCCAUUUUUCCCCCAGUUCCCAUCGUCGCGCCCCUGGUCCCAGACAUGGCCACCGCGCCGUGAAACUCCCUGUGUCGAGCUCGGUCCCUGCUCCAGUCUCUACUCGGCGUUCUGCGCGCCCAUCUCCCCCGGCUCCUUUCAGCUCGGAUCCCUGCCCGCGGAGUUUUUCCCCUAGCCAAGAUCGUCCUUGCGCGCUGUCGUCGCCUAGUUCGCGUCCCGCUCUUGCUCCAGCUAUGGCGCUUCAUCGCCGCAGUUCCCUAUCCUAUGCGCGCUCCGCUUUUUGUGCGCGUGUGUUCGUCGUCUCUGUUCCAGUCAUCCGCACAAUUUUCUCUGCUCCCUUGCCGUGGUCGUCGCGUGCCUGCGCGCAGCUCACGCCCUGCUAGCCCCUGCUGCGGGUUGUCGAGCUCUCUGCGCACGCUCACCUCGUUCUUUCCUUGUUUGCCGAGCGCACGAAUUUUAUCUGCUCGCCACAGCGUGUCGAGCUCCCGCACUAUCAUCGCUUCUAUCGCAAGCUCGUUAGCCACAGUUAUCUUGACCGUGUCAGCUCGUCAGACCUGUAACUCUAUAUACAGCACCCUUCCGUAUCGUCGUCAAGCUCGUCGAACCUCGUUCUUCUCUGCUCGCUUUCGUCGAACACCGAAUCCCGGAUAUUAGACAAAAAUAAGUGAGGCCCCUGUGUAUUGCUUAUCAAGUACUCGGUUGAAGACUUCAAUCCAAGAUCGUCGCCGUUCCGCGUGUCAUCAAGAAUGCCAAGAAUCGGAUGAAGACGAAGCUAACAGCGCAAUAUUCCCCAAGCGCUCGACCAAUUGCCUGGAUCGGAAAAUCACUACCGAUCUCGCGGAUUCGAGUCGACUAUUGAAACGGUACGUUAAUUAAUCGCGUGAUGCGGAGAACGACCCAAGUCGACCCCAAGCAUGGGCCAAUCCACAGGAUGAUGCUAAUGGACAAACCUGAAGAGGAUCGUCAAGUGGACAUCGUCUAACAACACUAACCUAGUGUUACCCAGGCAAGCCCCGGUGCAUGCAACCCCUUCCUUGUGUUUUUAAAUAAUUUUCGCACACUUUAAGUCUAGUGAAAUGUGCAUUAGGUUUAUAGGAGUUGCUUGAAACCCUUUGAUGCAUUGCCUUCCUUGAUAUCCAUACCUUAUUAGAUACUUCUGGUGAAGUAUCAAAAUAUGAUUUACAAAAAUGCUUAGCCCUGCUCAGAUCUUGUGGAUAGAGGUUGUCUUUUGCGUUAAGGCCUUGCUCAGGGGUUAUCCUGAGGAAAGAUGGCUUUUACCUGCAAGAAUAUUUUCAUUGGGAGCAUGGUGGGAUCUUACUGCAAAGUUCCCUGUGAUGCUCUUUUCAUCCUAAGGAUCACAAACAAUCCUAAGGAUGGAAGUACUUAAAUCGGGACUUGGGCUAGGAACAGGUGAUGUUCUACCCAGGUUGAUUAAGGAUUGGAUGCGUAUGUUGGCCUGCUGACCGAGGACCCUUUAACUGGUCACAUGCCUCGUCAUGGGUAAGCUUUGCCUCGGGUAGACUAAGGCCAGAAUAAGAUAACACGGAAUGGGCGUGGAGCGGUGGCGAGAGUAGCGUGUACCCUCCGUGGCAAGAGGCUGGACGGUGGUGUAUCUGUGCUCUCGGUUCGCGUGAACCUGAUCUGGUCUUAAGAACCCCGGUGGCGAGUUGACAUAUGCAAGGGUUAAGUGCUACAUAUGUCAUGUGAUUGGAGAUCCUCAGCUGAGUAUAAUCGAUUCGGAUCGCCGUACCUUCGCGGUUAUGAAGACUUGGUCACUGACCUGCAACCUAAGUCAAGAUGUGAACCUCAUGAAUAAAAAUGAUGUUGUAUUGAUGAGAUGGUGAAAUUAGACCAGAUGCAAAUAGAGUCUAUUAAUAUUUAAUCUGGCGUUAAAAUAUUGAAAGUAAGGACUCACUUUAGUAAGCUAUUUCUGCAAAAGUAUCUAAGUUGAUUCUUGCUAAAGCCUCUCCUUGAUUCCCAAAUCCAGCAUAUCCUUGAGAGUCUUUUCUUUAGUCGGGUAAGUCUUGCUGAGUAAUUCCAUACUCAGGGUUUUAUUCCCUGUUGUUUUUCAGGUUUAGUUUUGUGCUGUUGUUGAUGGUGUUAAGUGCCGGUGGGCUCGGCCUUCUUAUAAGUCUAAGUAACCCUUCUAUACUUCUUAUUGAGGAUGGUCACUUGAGCUAGCAUAUAUUUCAAACUUAUACUUUUGUAAUCACUCCGAUAAACUAAUGUAAAUUUUUUGUAACCUGUAAAAUUUGGUAGUAAGAUUUCCGCUGCAACAAUAUUGGUGUGUGUGAUAUGUGUUACUUAAUCCCGCGGUUCUGGUUGUAAGUGGUUUAUCCGAUGUCCUUGGGGCAAUCGGACAGAUCCUGUUAAGUUAUCUGGUGCACAUGCAUAGCCGUCUGAGGUCUUUGGGACAAGGACAGGUGCAUGUGGGCCCAAUAACUUGGAGGUUCUGCCACAGCUGGUAUCGGAGCAGGAUUAAGUAUAUACGGUCACAUACGUAUUUUCAAACCAAAAGUUUUGGUUUUGAAAAACCUAUUUUCAACUAAACACAUUGUUUGGCUUUCAAAAACAGAUUUGAAAAACUAUAAUGCUAGCGACAUCCUCUAUUAAGCCCUAAAUUAAGGACUAUCAGGUGGCUUAUUUGAAAACCACUAACCCACAAACCGGGGGUAUUGCAUACAUGUGUAUUGUUAUUUUUGAGGCCAUUCAGUUCUGAAUGGAUCGACGUUCAGGUAAGGUGAGAUGUGAGAGCAUGACCGAACAACCAUCGGUCUAGGGAAGUGCUUAAUUGUGGCGCUUGACUAUAUACGUAUUCUACAUAUGUAUAUAUGAAAGCUGUGAUGUGGAGUAAUUACUUUUCUGGGAAUUCAGUACACCAUGGAUGUGUAUGGGUAUAUAGACAUGGGAAUACUGAGAAGUGUAAUGUACUUGCAACGACGCACCUACGCUCACGUAAGAAGGUGAGUUACCAUAAUGAGUUGCCCUAUGGUUAAAGUGUGGCAACGACGCCUAUGCGUGGCUCGACGCUUAAUGAUGAGCUGGCCUCCAUAUAACAAUAUAUGGAGUAUAAACUGUGAUAAACUGUCAUGUGUGACUUGCAUCAUUGGGAAUUGGGCUGUAAUGAAAAUUUUCUGCAGGUACACUAACUCGAAAACGUAUGUGUAGCUGACGACUAGCAAAAUACCGAGAGAGAACGUAUGCCACCGAUAUAGAACGCUAUUGCCACGUUAUGUUGGCAAAAUCAGUGAGGACGUGUAGGACGAGCAUGCAUCAUGAUUGUUGCAUCAUGUUUGUCACCUAUACAUCCAAAAUGCUUCUCUCAUCCUUAUUCCAGAAACCAGUGAUUGUAGAUAAUCUGGUGUAAUGUUGAAUUAUAAACUUCGAUGUAAUAGCUGUCCUCCGUUCUUUAGGUAAUCUAUUUAGGUGUUAUAUGUGUUUGCUCUUGUGCUUGAUGUACCGAUAGAAGGUUGGUAACUUGAUUGCCUAAACCCAAAACUAGGCCAUGUUCUUAUUUAGUGAACCAUGACCCAAAGUUUGAAAUUUUCGUUAUCACUCCAUGACCAAGCCCAUGCAAAUAUAUGCUUAGAUAAUCACUUUAUUGGACCUAAGAUAUACUUGGACUUCAAAUAAGGAUCUUGAGUCCGUGUUCUUGGUAAUUAACUUGUAUCUCCCUUAGUGGUCGUGUUUCCAUCCUAGAUCCUGCCCUUGCUCAGUUGAUGCAGGUUGAGGUCUCUAUUGUAUUCGGCCUCUCCUUGUGGAUUAUCUUGUCGCUUUAUCAACCCAACCUAGGAAAGUCCUGCCUGAUCAUCUUCUUUAAUUUGAUUCCUUUGGUUUCCUCAUAUCUAUCAAAGGCAUACCAACUUGAUCUUAUGAUUGUUUCCCCUCCGUAUUUGAUCAGAUACUAAUCCUUGACCUUGUGAUCUCUGCGAUGGGCAUAGAAGUAUGCUUGGGACUGAAUUAACAGUCUCCCAUCGUACUCAUUCAUCAAUCAAGUUUUGGUUAUGGUCAUGCCCUGUUCAUUUCAUUGGGCCAUGAUCUAUUUGGCUCUCUACUUGUAACCGUUUUGACAGGUAGAGUCUCUUUGUAUAUUGUCACCCUUGCUCAACCUAUUAGUGUGGCAUGAGAUUUCUUAUUGGUUACGUCUAGUAAUGGUGUUAUGACUAAAACCGAUGGUGCCGUGACGAAACCGAGGGCCUCCUGUGAAUGUACACACAUGGUCGUGCUGCUCGGCACGCGCUGGUAUCACGGUUAGUAGUUGUAUCCAUUAUGAGACUAUAUCAAUGUGUUAUCUUGGCACAAUCUAGUUUUACCACGUGAGAUUCAUUAUUGGUGCUAGUUCGGUGGUGGUGUCAUGGGUAAUGACUUAUGGUGCCGCAGCGAAACUGAGAGCCCCUUGUGAAUGUACACGCAAGGUUAUGCUGCUUGGCGCCUGCUGGUAUCGAGGUCGCUGGUCAUGAUCCAUUGUGAAACUACACUUACGUAUGAUCUUCCGUGGACUCCUCCCUUAAAAUAAUUUCUAUGUUGCUUGUCGAAGUGAUCAAGCAACAUCUAUCAUCUCUGUUGGAUUAAAAGGGCAUACCACUUUCAUGUGUGGUCUUAUUUCUUUUGAUUUUGGUAAUGACUACUCAUACAAGCUUCCUUUACAUCCUCUGUGUAAAGGUGAAGCCUUGGAGCUUUUUAGUGUUGGACAACAACUGAUUAGCUCUCAAAAUGGAGAUUGGCUUUUCCUGCCACUGAGAUGCAAGAGUGUGUUCAUCCGCUCUCUUAUUUAACCCAUAUAUUUCCAAACCAAGUCUGUUCAUCUUGCAUGGAAGAAACGGAUGAACAAUCUGACCAAAUGGAUUUCUACCCAAGUGCAUAAUCUCUUAUUAGCAAAGGUGAACUCUCGACCAUUGGAUUGCCAAUGGGUAACAAGACCAAAAUUUCCUAGUGUCAAAAGUAGUUCAACAAGUUGGUUUUACUAACUUGUAACUGCCCUAUGAACAAAGUUUGAGUUUAGAGAUCGUUUUGUCGAGUUGGCUAAACUCACUUUGGUUCACCUCACCGUAAAGAAAGUACUUACAAGAAUUGAAAUUAAGUCGGCCUGUAACCACCUAGUCAUCACUCUAGACAUGCCUCGAUUGCCUCACGUGUGCUUUUCCAACAUGUGUGAUCAAGUGAAGCCAUGAUUAGUACCGGAUAAAAUAAAUUGGUUGCAAAGUCGGCAUCUACAGAUCCCUCCGCUGGUGAUUUUCUCGAAUCUAUAUCACCUUUCAUGGACUUGGAUUCUCUGGCUAACACGAGUUAAUUGUGAUGUUAUUCGACAUUCACACCCGUCUCGUGUGUUAUGAACUUACCAUAACCACUUGUUGAUAAACCUCUUUCUGUGUGUUUUACCCAAGAGGUUGCAUCUGGUUCUGUUUGCAAAAUCGCGUAUUCACCGCUCGCUCAACAGACUUAGAUAGUACAGUGUCAUCAAAGAAAACAAGCUGCACACAUGGAACCUUAUGUGUUCCUCUGGCAAACAUCGUUUCUAUUGGUGGACAUUUCUAAAUUAGCCUAAAGCGAUACAUGAUAUGUCCACUAGAGAAACAACAUCCUGAGAUACUCGCCUUUAUUUGGAGUGUCUCACGAUUAUUGCUGAUAUGGAUAUGGGUUACAUGCUUCUCUACUCUUAGAAGUCUUUCGUUCUGAAUCUCGGGACGAGAUUCUUUUAAGGGGGAGGGCUGUAACACCCCAGGUGUUUAUAUUCCGCUCGACAAUGAGUACAGAUUUAAGCAUGUAAUCAGUGGAUAAAACAGAUGCUAAAUUUUAAUCAUCUUCGUCUAUCGCGAUUUUAAUAUCGCAUCUACUUCGUCUGUCGAGAGUUCGACAUCAUCUUUAUUUAUCCGGGCUCUUCCUAAAUUUUCGUGUUGUUGGGAACAUUGUCAUUCCGAAAAUCGGUGCAUCUGGUGAUUAUUUAAAAUUCAUCGCUCGCGCGAGUACGAAUUCGAAAGCCCAACCCACUUGGUUGAUUUUUAUCCCGGACAAAUUAAAUUGAACUCGGCGACAAAAGUGUUAGUACAAAAUUUAUGAGAAGUCGAUGACUAAAAUUUUAGGGGUAAAAUAAUUUAGUCACUGCUCGCCAACCGAGAAUACGUCACGUCCGAGGGUGUAUAAUUGAGAUUUGAUUCUCCACUAUAUCUGUGACAGAGCGAUCAGGUGUUCGAGUGAUAGAUGAAGAUAUCUAAUUUUAAGUCGUGUCAAAUAUAGUAAAAUAUCAGUCUCGAUCUCGAUUGGGUUCAUUCUGUUUGCAUCUUAUCUGAACCUGAUAUUAUCCGAAACAAAGAGAUUAGCGUUUGAUGUAUAGCCGAUAAUACUGGGUCCGAAAGAAUACUCCGGAUUGCUUGCGUUACCAAAAGACCGUGCGCAAGAUUAAUAAUUAGGGAUUAUUCUUUAGUGUGCUAUUCUAGGUAGAGAAAUCAAAUGGGUUCGGAAAAUAGAUAAAUUUAUCUGGGUUCAACUAAAUUAAUAAUGUCUCAAGUACUGUAUCCUGAUAGUGUUUUGGCCUGGUCUGUUUAUAUCUCAUCCAAACUCUAAUCCUAAUUCCGGUAUUCUUUAAAAAGCAAGAGGAAAAGAACAAAAUGGAAAAUAUCUCCUAGCCUUAUCUCUUCCCACGUCACUUAUUCUAUCCGAAGUGUACUGUUCACUAGAUUUUUGUCCAAGCCCCGUUGAAGCUCCCUGACGUUGAUUUUUUCAUGCGUACAUCUCUUAUCUUCAACCUCCUUGCUGCAUCGUUUAUCUCCCUGGGAUAUUUCCUGCGCGUCAUCAUCUUCAUCCGGCCGCCGCUCAUGGAGAAAAGAUCUCCAGUCGCCAGGGGAUAAAAUCUCGCCGCCCACGGUUCCUUUUUACCUGCGCGCUGUGCACCUUCCAACCCAGCCGUGCCUGCUCGCCACCAUUCGGCGUUUCUUCCGGUGGGAACAGAGGGCAACAGUUGACGCGGCAGCCAAAAUCGCCACGCCCUGGACUUCCUCCUCGGUGCGCUGCUCGCUCGUCUUCCUGACGUCCGGCUAGAGCUCCAUUUUUUCCCCCAGUUCCCAUCGUCGCGCCCCUGGUCCCAGACAUGGCCACCGUGCCGUGAAACUCCCUGUGUCGAGCUCGGUCCCUGCUCCAGUCUCUGCUCGGCGUUCUGCGCGCCCAUCUCCCCCGGCUCCUUUCAGCUCGGAUCCCUGCCCGCGGAGUUUUUCCCCUAGCCAAGAUCGUCCUUGCGCGCUGCCGUCGCCUAGUUCGCGUCCCGCUCUUGCUCCAGCUAUGGCGCUUCAUCGCCGCAGUUCCCUAUCCUAUGCGCGCUCCGCUUUUUGUGCGCGUGUGUUCGUCGUCUCUGUUCCAGUCAUCCGCACAAUUUUCUCUGCUCCCUUGCCGUGGUCGUCGCGUGCCUGCGCGCAGCUCACGCCUUGCUAGCCCCUGCUGCGGGUUGUCGAGCUCUCUGCGCACGCUCACCUCGUUCUUUCCUUGUUUGCCGAGCGCACGAAUUUUAUCUGCUCUCCACAGCGUGUCGAGCUCCCGCACUAUCAUCGCUUCUAUCGCAAGCUCGUUAGCCACAGUUAUCUUGACCGCGUCAGCUCGCCAGACCUGUAACUCUAUAUACAGCACCCUCCCGUAUCGUCGUCAAGCUCGUCGAACCUCGUUCUUCUCUGCUCGCUUUCGUCGAACACCGAAUCCCGGAUAUUAGACAAAAAUAAGUGAGGCCCCUGUGUAUUGCUUAUCAAGUACUCGGUUGAAGACUUCAAUCGAAGAUCGUCGCCGUUCCGCGCGUCAUCAAGAAUGCCAAGAAUCGGAUGAAGACGAAGCUAGCAGCGCAAUAUUCCCCAAGCGCUCGACCAAUUGCCUGGAUCGGAAAAUCACUACCGAUCUCGCGGAUUCGAGUCAACUAUUGAAACGGUACGUUAAUUAAUCGCGUGAUGCGGAGAACCACCCAAGUCGACCCCAAGCAUGGGCCAAUCCACAGGAUGAUGCUAAUGGACAAACCUGAAGAGGAUCGUCAAGUGGACAUCGUCUAACAACACUAACCUAGUGUUACCCAGGUUUAGUUUUGUGCUGUUGUUGAUGGUGUUAAGUGCCGGUGGGCUCGGCCUUCUUAUAAGUCUAAGUAACCCUUCUAUACUUCUUAUUGAGGAUGGUCACUUGAGCUAGCAUAUAUUUCAAACUUAAACUUUUGUAAUCACUCCGAUAAACUAAUGUAAAUUUUUUGUAACCUGUAAAAUUUGGUAGUAAGAUUUCCGCUGCAACAAUAUUGGUGUGUGUGAUAUGUGUUACUUAAUCCCGCGGUUCUGGUUGUAAGUGGUUUAUCCGAUGUCCUUGGGGCAAUCAGACAGAUCCUGUUAAGUUAUCUGGUGCACAUGCAUAGCCGUCUGAGGUCUUUGGGACAAGAACAGGUGCAUGUGGGCCCAAUAACUUGGAGGUUCUGCCACAAGCUUCUAGCAAAUCCUCAAGCAAAGGAAGGGGAAGGACUACAAACCCCGAUCCAAGAGGGUUUGCUAUAGGUGUGGUAAGUCCGACCACUUUAUUGCUAAAUGUCCAUAUACAAGUGACAGUGACAAGGACGACGACAAGAAAGGGAAGAAGAAGAUGGAGAAGAAGAGAUACUACAAGAAUAAGGGUGGCGAGGCGCAUGUGUGCGAGAAUGGGACUCCGACGAGAGCUCCACCGACUCCUCCUCCGAUGAGGACGCCACCAACAUCGCCAUCAACAUGGGCCUUCUCUUCCCCAACAUCGGCCACAAAUGCCUCAUGGCUAAGGACGGCAAAAGGAAGAAGAACUGGUGGCCAUCGAAUCUGCUUAUCCGCAACUGCAUUUCCCACGAGGAGCCUAAAGUCCUUGUGCCGGAGUAUGCAUUGAGCUAUGGUGAUUCAGUAGAAGAUGUAUGUCUUUGGUGGAAACCAUAAUGGUCGUUACUUUGGCGACAUUCAGGAGGAGUUCUUCAGCGCCUUCAAGGAGGAGAUGGAGAUCAAGCGACAACUCGAGAAGGUGCAGGUGGCAUAGAGGGAUCAUUGUUGCCCAUUGAAGAACCACUACUAGAAUAAGAAAGUCCACCAAUUUUUUCAGCACCAUUAUUUCCAGCUUCAUUGUAACUGCUAGACAAAAUAAGGCCCCCUGGUGCUUUGCCAUCAUCUCUGCUUGGAUAUGAGGCACUGACAGGUUCCCUAGAUGAUUCUAGAUUUGAAGAUUAUCUUCACAGACUGAACCAAGAUUGUGAGCACAUUGUAUUGCUAAGACAAUUUUGUCGUACAACGUUCGUCCACCCUCCAUUUGUAGAUUUGUCUGCAUCUACUCUUUGCGGAUCGUCGACUCAUUGUUCUUGUCAUAUGUGUUCGAACAGUUUCUUUCAGAUGUCAAGAGGUGGAUCUUGUUUCUACAGUGAGUUGGUGAUCUGGAGACGAUCGAGUGUAGAGUGUUGAAGGCACAUCUCCAAUAUUCCUACACAAAAACACAAUGCACAUCAACUAACAGAAGUGCAAUACCCUCUCAUUUAUUAGCCUCAUCAAACUGAAUUGAAAGACAACAAACUGAACUGAAAGUCAACAUACAUGCCAGGUAACUGUAUUGCAAAAGAAUAUGGUACUUAUGCACCUAAGGAGAAAGGGAAGAAGCAUACUUUUUUUGGCUCUGGUAUGUGUAGCUCCCAUUUUAGAUUUUACCAAGUAUCAAAUGUACAUUUCUUAUUGUUUGAUGACUAACAUCAUGCAGAGGUAUUAAUUUUAAAAAAUGACGCUGAACCUUAAAAUAUAUUCAAACCAUUCAUUUACAUCAUGCAAAGGUAUGAUAUUAAUUCCAUGGAUCGAUGAGUUAAAUGGCUAUUUUAAGCUAAAGCUUGUUUUCCUUUACAAGAGGUGGUUUUAUCUAAAAGAAUAUCUUUGGAGUGGUUCUUUUACAUUCUAUGAAACCAUCCUUUUUAUUUGUUGCCACAUGUCAGACGUCAUAUUUAAAUGUGCAUACACAAAUAUACUAAUUGUUUUAGCUGACCUAGAGUUUAUCUAAAAGACUCGGAUAGGCUGAAUGUAUGAGUUGUUUCUUGCUGUAAAUAUGGAUUGGUAACGAAUAGAGAAAUUAGGUUUGCUUUGUAGUAUUACAAAAAUAUAUGAAUCCUUGAGAAGAGUUCUUUCUAGAAUUGAUAAAAUGAAUUGGAAUGUGGAGCUGUGGAUUGAUGAAUCUAUCAAACCUAUUCUACAAUUGUAGCCUGCAAAUAGUAAAUACGUACCUCUGUGUGUUCUUAAGUCUUAACUUAAUAUCCUAAUUCUUGGCAGGCUUCAUGUGUUGUAUCUUUCUAUAAAUAUGAACAAAGAAUAAGGUUGAUGGAAUUUAGUUGAUUAUUAAAUGAUUUGUAAGUGCUCAAAAUGGAUGACAUUAACUUAAUUGCAGAGCAACAUUGUAUAGUCGAUUAACCGUGUUUGUAACAUAUUUAUUCUCUCAUCUUUGUGUUGGAGUGCUUGCAACAUAUUUUGUACUUGCAUCUUCUUUUGGUAGUUAAGAGUGUAACCAGACAACUCAUCCAUUUUCUUCCAUUUGCACCCAAACUUUCAUUGUCUUAUUGUUGUCAAGCGCAUAAUGUGAUCAUGUUUUGCUUGGGGUGGCAUGAAACUAUAGUGACAAUAUCAGUGUGGCCAUCCAGUUUCUGUACAAUUCUUGACUACAGGUCCCAGUUCAAGUUAGUUUGCCAAAUUUCUAUGGCUUGUGCAGCUAGCAUCUUAGUGCUCUUUGCAAAAAAAGAGUAUUAUUAAGGGUUUAGUCUUUGAGCUUUCUACAUAGAAGGGGCUACUUGAAAUCACCAUAAAUUUUCAUUGCUUUCAUUCUCUCUUUUGGUAUUUCAGUUUGGUUAUGGUUUAACUCUUCUUUUGCUAUUUGUGUCGACCAUUUAUGUCACAAUAACUUCACUCAAUACUCUGUACAUAACUGACUGGUCAUGAUAUCAUAUUUCGAUAAAGUAUUUAUGACAAUCUAAGACACACAAAUGGUCUGUGGAAAACCUUUGGAUGGCAAGCUUGUAUCGUAUGCCUUCCAAAUUUUAUAGUAGUACCAUUUUUUAUUUUUGUUUGGAUACCUCUUCUAACAGAGAUCUUGGUAAUUUGAACUUAUAUGGUCAUCUGGUGCCUGAGCUUGGAAAAUUGGAGCAUCUUCAGUAUUUGUUAUGAUCACCGUAGGCAGGUUUUCUCCACACAGAUGGGUUUGAGCAACCAGGACAUUGUUGCACUUUUUGGUGGUCACACCCUAGUUGGUGGAAUCAGGGAAGAUGCCACAAGAACAGGUUUGGGUUUGAGGGAGCUUAGACGUCCAACCCUUUGAUCUUUGACAACUCUUCAAGGAGCUUCUGAGUGGAGAGAAGGAAGGCCUUUUGCAGCUACCAAGGGACAAAGCUCUCCUCUCUUAUCCAUCCUUCUGCCCACUUAUUGACAAAUAUGUAGCAGUAUAUAUAUCUUUGAUCCUUGUCAUUUGUUCGGGGUCAGUUUAUGUUAACCUGGGUGGCUGUAAUAAAUAUUUGUCGGCCUUGUGUUUUGUUAUCUUCUUUUCUCUUGAAUGGUUCAUUUGAAGAUGGGGUGAACUAAACUGAAUAUGUAGUCUGUAUGUUUUUAUGGUUCA